AUUGAACGCUGGCGGCAGGCCUAACACAUGCAAGUCGAGCGUGAAAGGGCUUCGGCCUGAGUAAAGCGGCGGACGGGUGAGUAACGCGUAGGAAUCUACCUGGUAGUGGGGGAUAACGUUCCGAAAGGGACGCUAAUACCGCAUACGUUCCGAGGAAGAAAGCAGGGGACCUUCGGGCCUUGUGCUAUCAGAUGAGCCUGCGUCCGAUUAGCUAGUUGGUGGGGUAAAGGCCUACCAAGGCGACGAUCGGUAACUGGUCUGAGAGGAUGAUCAGUCACACUGGAACUAGAGCACGGGCCAGACUCCUACGGGAGGCAGCAGUGGGGAAUGUUGGACAAUGGGCGCAAGCCUGAUCCAGCCAUGCCGCGUGGGUGAAGAAGGCCUUCGGGUUGUAAAGCACUUUAAGCGGGGAGGAAGGCCUGAUGGCUAAUAUCCAUCAGGAUUGACGUUACCCGCAGAAUAAGCACCGGCAAACUGCGUGCCAGCAGCCGCGGUAACAC
rnacentral:rRNA from 1 species